rnacentral:rRNA from 1 species
CCAGACUCCUACGGGAGGCAGCAGUGGGGGAUAUUGCACAAUGGGGGGAACCCUGAUGCAGCGACGCCGCGUGGGUGAAGAAGCGCCUCGGCGCGUAAAGCCCUGUCAGCAGGGAAGAAAAUGACGGUACCUGAAGAAGAAGCCCCGGCUAACUACGUGCCAGCAGCCGCGGUAAUACGUAGGGGGCAAGCGUUAUCCGGAUUUACUGGGUGUAAAGGGGGCGCAGACGGCGCUGCAAGCCAGGGGUGAAAGCGCGGGGGCCAACCCCGGGACUGCCCUUGGAACUGCAUGGGUGGAGUGGGGGAGGGGCAGGCGGAAUUCCUGGGGUAGCGGUGAAAUGCGUAG